rnacentral:lncRNA from 1 species
CCGCACGGAACUGAAAUCAGUUCUCUCGCUGUACUGGCCAGAGUGGUUGGUACGGCCAGAGACUCAAGAAAACAACUAGCAAACUAAUAUGUUGUAACAUAUUUGUUAACAACAUAAUAUGCUAUAACAAACACGUGUGCUAUUUGAUUUUUAUAUGAUUGCCUAGAUAUUGCGUUGCAUUUUGCACUCAAUGUGCUGGAGGCACUCGUCCGUGCCUGACGUGUACACUUGCGAGCGCGCGAAAUUAAUUUUCAAUUUUUUCAUGGUUGCAAUUAA